rnacentral:rRNA from 1 species
UACGAGGGGGGCAAGCGUUGUUCGGAAUUAUUGGGCGUAAAGGGCGCGUAGGCGGUGCGGUAAGUCACCUGUGAAACCUCUAGGCUCAACCUAGAGCCUGCAGGCGAAACUGCCGUGCUUGAGGGUGGGAGAGGUGCGUGGAAUUCCCGGUGUAGCGGUGAAAUGCGUAGAUAUCGGGAUGAACACCUGUGGCGAAAGCGGCGCACUGGACCACAUCUGACGCUGAGGCGCGAAAGCUAGGGGAGCAAACAGG